ensembl:lncRNA
GUUACCAGAGCCUUUGGUCAUUUUCCACUCAAGGGACUGGUAUCUGAUGUAAGUAUAACCCAGCUCUUAAGACUCUCACAGCUCCUGCUAAAAUGGGCCCUUCCAAAGUCCCCCUUAGCUAUUUUGGGCAGUCUUGAGGGCAUCUGGCAUGCAGACCAGACCAAGCCUAGUCAACUCCCGAGCACAUGUUCCCUGCCAGGCACUCACCUUCCUGCUGACUCCUGCUGCCCUGCUGGGCUGUGGUCUCUACCAAGAGGGGAGCCCGCCUCUCCCCAUUCUGUUAGGGCACCAACACAGGGCUGCUCUGUCUCCCAGAAUUUUAGCGAACUCCUCUCAAGUUCCCAUUUGCAGCCUCCCUGCUCUCCACAGGAGUCCAGUGGUAGUCCACAGCAGGGCCAGGGAUGCUGCCCUCGGAAUCAUUCCCCUCUUACCUAAGGCUCCAUCAUCAUGCCAACUUGUCUUUUUUGGUGUCAUAAUGAUAAUGAUAGCUUAUUCUCACGUGGCACUUACUGUGAGCCAGAUACUGUUAUAAGCACUUUACAUGGAGAUUAUCAUGCCUGUGACAUAGAUAUUAUUAACAUCUUCAUUGUACUGAUGAGAAAACUAAGGGUCACAGGUGUAGAAAUUUGCCAAAGGUCACACAGCUAGUAAGUGGUGGGGCAGAAUUCAAAGGCCAACAUCAGCCUCCAGAGUCCGUGCUCUUGACCACAGAGCCCUCACUCUGUGCCAGAGGCUCAUGGCUCGCGCACUCAGGCCCAUCCCUGUCUGAACUCAGUGUGGGACAACCUGAGGCCAAGGCUGGGUACCCACCGCAGAAGCAAGGUCCCUCCCUGAAGGAAGGUUUCUGGAGUGGCCAAAGGGGCCCGCCCUUAGGGCAGCCAGCCUGGUAGGCUCUGAGCUGCCUCUAUCUAGAUUCUGACACUUCCAGCCAAGGUCACCCACCUGACAGCCAUCAACUCAACAGCAGGGGACUCCAGGCUGACCUUUCCCUUGUCACCAGAUCCACACAACAGCGGUGGUGAGGCAGUCCAGACCACUGUCUUGUUCUCUCACUAGCCACGUCUGCCUUGGCACUUGGACAGAAUUCACAGCAAACGUUGCCAGGCAGAGUGUUGAAAAGUUCAAAUCAAUCAGAAGCCAGGUGUUGUCAAGUGGUGUGAGACAAAUGCCCACCCCCAGCCCCAGUGCCAGAACACAGCCUGAACGGGGAAAACAGAAAGCACUUCUCCAUUUAUUACUGUCUUACAAACAUUGUAACAACGGCAAGAAUAAAGGUUAGAGGAGCCACCAGCAGCCGUUGCAUGUUCUCUUCGUCCUCAGUCAACAUCUCACCUGGCCAUGUUCUUUACAUGGCAGCAUGACUCAAACCUUCCUUCAAAAUUCAUUAGAAGCAUCAGCUCUGCCCUCCAGCUGUUCUGCUCCAGACUGUCAUCCCUGACAGCUGCUCUACAGGGUAUCACGGCACACACCGCAGUGCAUCCUGAUGUCUGGCUUCCGGGAACUCCAACGUGUCAACAGAAAAGAUGAUCCGAGAUGGGCCUAAUCAGAGAGAGGGCACUACAGUACUUCUAGAGAGGAAACUGAACUGGAAGUCAGAAACCCUGAAUCCCAAUUAGCUGAGGGACUUUAUGAAGACACAAUUUCUGAAGCUCGGUUGGG